AUCCCUAGCUGGUUUGAGAGGAUGAUCAGCCACACUGGAACUGAGACACGGUCCAGACUCCUACGGGAGGCAGCAGUGGGGAAUAUUGGACAAUGGGCGCAAGCCUGAUCCAGCCAUGCCGCGUGUGUGAAGAAGGCCCUCGGGUUGUAAAGCACUUUCAGUUGGGAGGAAGGGUUGUGUGUUAAUAGUACACAGCCUUGACGUUACCAACAGAAGAAGCACCGGCUAACUCUGUGCCAGCAGCCGCGGUAAUACAGAGGGUGCAAGCGUUAAUCGGAAUUACUGGGCGUAAAGCGCACGUAGGCGGUCUUUUAAGUCAGAUGUGAAAGCCCCGGGCUCAACCUGGGAAUUGCAUUUGAAACUGGAAAACUAGAGUGUGUGAGAGGGGGGUAGAAUUCCAAGUGUAGCGGUGAAAUGCGUAGAGAUUUGGNGNGAAUACCAGUGGCGAAGGCGGCCCCCUGGCACAACACUGACGCUCAGGUGCGAAAGCGUGGGGAGCAAACAGGAUUAGAUACCCUGGUAGUCCACGCCGUAAACGAUGUCUACUAGCUGUUCGUGACCUUGUGUCGUGAGUAGCGCAGCUAACGCACUAAGUAGACCGCCUGGGGAGUACGGUCGCAAGAUUAAAACUCAAAUGAAUUGACGGGGGCCCGCACAAGCGGUGGAGCAUGUGGUUUAAUUCGACGCAACGCGAAGAACCUUACCUACUCUUGACAUCCAGAGAAGACUGCAGAGAUGCGGUUGUGCCUUCGGGAACUCUGAGACAGGUGCUGCAUGGCUGUCGUCAGCUCGUGUUGUGAAAUGUUGGGUUAAGUCCCGCAACGAGCGCAACCCUUAUCCUUAGUUGCCAGCACGUAAUGGUGGGAACUCUAAGGAGACUGCCGGUGAUAAACCGGAGGAAGGUGGGGACGACGUCGAGUCAUCAUGGC
rnacentral:rRNA from 1 species